AGCAGCCGCCGCGGUAAUACGUAGGGUGCGAGCGUUAAUCGGAAUUACUGGGCGUAAAGCGUGCGCAGGCGGUUUUGUAAGACAGGCGUGAAAUCCCCGGGCUCAACCUGGGAAUGGCGCUUGUGACUGCAAAGCUAGAGUGCGGCAGAGGGGGAUGGAAUUCCGCGUGUAGCAGUGAAAUGCGUAGAGAUGUGGAGGAACACCGAUGGCGAAGGCAGCCCCCUGGGCCAAUACUGACGCUCAUGCACGAAAGCGUGGGGAGCAAACAGGAUUAGAUACCCCAGUAGUCCCUGUCUCUUAUAC
rnacentral:rRNA from 1 species